rnacentral:rRNA from 1 species
GGUUAACGCUGGCGGCGUGCCUAACACAUGCAAGUCGAACGGUUCUAAGCGCGAGCUUAGGAUAGUGGCGAACGGGUGAGUAAAAGGUAGGAAUCUACCCCUUGGACGGAGAUAGCUACUGGAAACGGUAGGUAAACUUCGAUAAGCCCGAGAGGGGAAAGUGGUGAGACAGCCGAGGGAUGAGCCUACUCUCCAUCAGGUAGUUGGUGAGAUAAAAGCUUACCAAGCCGAUGACGGAUAACCGGUGUGAGAGCAUGAACGGUCACAAGGGCACUGAGAUACGGCCCAGACUCCUACGGGAGGCAGCAGCUAAGAAUAUUCCGCAAUGGACGAAAGUCUGACGGAGCGACGCCGCGUGGAUGAAGAAGGCCGAAAGGUUGUAAAAUCCUUUGUUGGGGAAGGAUAAGCGUGGGAGGGAAUGCCGCGUGAUGACAUGAACCGACGAAUAAGUCCGGCUAACUACGUG